UUUCCGUAGGUGAACCUGCGGAAGGAUCAUUAUUGUAUAACCGAGCUGCGAGGGCUGUCGCUGACCCGAAACGUCGUGCACGCCCCAGUGCCCUCACACUCAUCCAUCUAACCCCUAUGUGCACCACCGCGUGGGUCCCCCCUUGGCUUGUUCGGACGGGGGCUUACGUCUUCACACAAACUUUGUAUGCAGUGUAGAAUGUAUUUUGUGUGUUUGCGAUGCCGCAAUCAAUACAACUUUCAACAACGGAUCUCUUGGCUCCC
rnacentral:misc_RNA from 1 species